rnacentral:rRNA from 1 species
UACGGAGGGUGCAAGCGUUAUCCGGAAUCACUGGGUUUAAAGGGUGCGUAGGCGGCUUAAUAAGUCAGUGGUGAAAGGCUGUGGCUUAACCAUGGAAUUGCCAUUGAUACUGUUGAGCUUGAAUCAGGUUGAGGUUGGCGGAAUGUGACAUGUAGCGGUGAAAUGCUUAGAUAUGUCAUGGAACACCGAUUGCGAAGGCAGCUGACUGGACCUGUAUUGACGCUGAGGCACGAAAGCGUGGGGAGCGAACAGG